rnacentral:misc_RNA from 1 species
CACGCGCACGCAAAGAGCGACUUCACCGAUUCGGGUGUUGAGCGCAGCUCCCCCCUCCCUCCCCUUUCCUUUUAGCUUUCUUCUUCCGCGUUUUGCGGGUAGCUCAUGAGCACGCGUCCGCGCGAUAUCUGCACGGCUGCCUUUGAGGGCGACACGGCCCGCGUGGAGCAGCUCGUGACGGCGGCUGGCGUGUACAGCGGACGGUGGCACUCACCGUUUGUCGUCGACACGAGUGCUGCGGCGCGCGACGCGCUUGCUCACUGGGAGGGCGUCGGCAAUGAUGAGGAUGAUGAGGGCUAUGGCGGCGCCGAGGAGGAUAUAGAGGAGGUGCUGGGAGAAGAAGAAAUGGCGAAGCUGAAGGCGCACCCGGUCCUGCGUGGCAUCGUGAAGGCCUACAGUCUCGAUGAGCAAGCCCUCGGCGGCGCCGCCGAGGACGGCGAGGGCGCGGGUGCAUACAUGCAAGACGAUGAUGCCGCGCUACUCGACGAGGAGGCCGAGGAGGCGGCGGAGGUGGAUCGGCGGGCGCAACAGGGCGACAUCCUCCUCUACAAGCGUCUGCUUGCCCACCAACUGCACCGAGACAGCGUCGCCGAGCACAUUCAGCAGCACGGGUUGCUUCGCAUGAGCACAACGCCGCCGGUGGACAUGACCCUGUACGGUAUUCUCUUCUCGUGUCGCGAGGUGCCGACGGCUGCUGUUGGUGCAGCGGUGUCAGAGGAGAGCUCAGUGCCUCUGCAAGUGCGUUGGCAGCCGAGCAAGCGCAGCCGCUACGCUGGUACACCUCUCCACUGGGCUGUCCUUGCCCGCGCGCACGACACGGUGCGCUUCCUCGUGGAGCACGGCGCUGACUGCAGUGCAGGGCUAAAGGCAGUCACGAACGACGGCGCGGCGCCAGAUGCGCAGCUCGCGAUGUGCGAUCAGAAGGUGCUGGGGUCGCUGACGCCUGCGCGUAUGGCCGCUGACAACGAGUCGCACAGCACACUGGAGGUGCUGGAGAGGGCCGUGGCGGCGCAAGAAGCGAGGCGCGCGGACGAAGAGGCCUUCUUCAUUAUGCUAGAGAAACGUCUGCGGCGGCGCAGGGAGGAGUAUCUGCGCCGCUUCGAGGAAGCGCGUGCGCAGCGACUGCGUGAAGCUGAGGAGGCGAGGCGCGCAGAGGCGGAAGAAGGCGAGGAGGCCGAGGAGAGCGAUUUGUCCGGUGAAGACAAGAACGACAGCGGUAGCGAGAACAUCGACACUGGCGAAGAGGACGAGGAGGCGGACGGCUGAAGCGAUAAUGUGCACGCGUUUUUCGUGUGCGUUUAGGGGUGGGGAGGGGAGGGUGGCAUGGGAGCGGUGACCAAAAAGGUUGAACCGGCGGUUUGGAGGGAGGGAGAGAGCAUAGAUGGUGGAGCGACCCGCACACGCAUAUGUACCUUCACGCGUCUUCCAGUCGAAACCGCACCCCCUCCCUCCCUCCCUCCGGCCUCCCAUCUAACCUCCCACCUGCCUGCCUCUCACUCAUCUCUUGUCCAUCGCCAACCGUCUUCUUCGGCCCUCCCCUCUCCGCCCCCUCGCGUUCGCUUUCCGUCACCCGCACACCGAGCACUGAUACAAAAG